rnacentral:rRNA from 1 species
GGGGGGGCAAGCGUUGUUCGGAAUUACUGGGCGUAAAGGGCUCGUAGGCGGCCAACUAAGUCCGACGUGAAAUCCCCAGGCUUAACCUGGGAACUGCGUCGGAUACUGGAUGGCUUGAAUUCGGGAGAGGGAUGCAGAAUUCCAGGUGUAGCGGUGAAAUGCGUAGAUAUCUGGAGGAAUACCGGUGGCGAGGGCGGCAUCCUGGACCGACAUUGACGCUGAGGAGCGAAAGCUAGGGGAGCAAACGGGAUUAGAUACCCCGGUAGUCCUAGCCCUAAACGAUGAAUGCUUGGUGUGGCGGGUAUCGAUCCCUGCCGUGCCGAAGCUAACGCAUUAAGCAUUCCGCCGGGGGAGUACGGUCGCAAGGCUG